UAGUCAGUUUGCAACUCUCCUAAUUUUUUCAUCAUUUAAAGAAAGAAACAAAAGCAUGGAUCCAAGCUUGAGAGAAGUAGCUGGAACAGGAGAUACUGAUGCCUUGUACGCUCUAAUUCGAAAGGAUCCGUACAUGUUGGAGCAUAUUGAUCAGAUUCCUUUCAUCGAUACUCCACUUCACAUAGCAGCAAAUGAAGGUCAAAUUAAGUUUGCAAUGGAGAUGAUCAACUUGAAGCCUUCGUUUGGUCGGAAGCUAAACCAAGAUGGGUUUAGCCCCAUGCACUUGGCCCUCAAAAUGGGGCAUACCAAGCUAGUGCUUCGACUGUUGAAGACCGAUAAAGACCUGGUUCGCGUCAAAGGAAGGGAAGGGAUGACCCCUUUCCAUUGUGCAGCUGCAGUGGGGAACUCUAAUCUUUUAUUCCACUUCCUUGAAACUUGCCCUGAAUGCGUUGAGGAUGUCACGGUUCGUAACGAGACUGCAUUACAUCUUGCUCUGAAAAACGACCACACAGACGCUUUUAAUCUCUUACAUGGAUGGCUUCGAAAGAACCGUCGAGGAGGAGGCAAUGGUUUGGAAAGAAAGGUUGUGAAUUGGAGAGAUGAUGAUGACAACACUGUGUUGCACAUUGCAGCUACAAAUCAACAACAUCAGGUAUAUAUAUGCAAUAUAAUGAUAAGUUGCGUUCCUUUGAUCAUUUUAUUAAUGACUAUUUAUAAUAUUCUACGCAGGCAGUACAACUGUUGUUGGAUUCCUUUUAUGGGUUAGAUGCAAACGCUAAGAAUUCGGAAGGCUUGACAGCUCGAGAAACCAUAGAAAGGGUUGAAAGACAAGGGUUGAACAUGAGUGGCGCCGAAGACGAUGAUAUCUCCACCGCCAAGAUUGAGCGCAUUAAGAAAAGAACUAGUAGGUCUGAAAGAGCAUUAGUAAAGUUGAUUCGUGCAAGGAAUGGGUUGUCAGAGAACAUGCUCAACGCAACACUGGUGGUAGCGGCGCUGGUCAUUACAGCAAUCUACCAGUCAUCUUUAAGCCCACCAAGAGGUCUUUGGCAAGGUGAUAACACUAGUAUCCCCACCACCAACUCAAACCUUACUACUACUACUAAAUUUAAACUCUUUAACGACAAUUACAGUUAGUAUCGUUUUAAAUUUCUGUUGGGUGAAGAAACAAGGAAAACUGGUACUGCAGUCAUGAAUCCCAACUUGUUUUUAGGGUUUUGGUUUUUCAAUUUUAUAGCAUUUGGGCUUCCAGUUCUUCUAACCGUUUUGCUUUUAUCCAAUGUACCUAGUAUUCUUCUCAUCCCGCUUUAUUAUCUAUCUGUCUCCUACUUCAACUGCAUGACAAUAGUAUCUCCUUCCACGUUUUGGGCAAACCUCAACUUUGUUGUCAUGCGGACAGCCAUUCUUCUCCCGUUGCUCUUAGUUGUUAGAAGCGUAUGGUUAUCGAAGCAACCAAAGUACAGGGAAAUCAGACAAUUACGAAGACUUUUCCGCAAGUAGAAUAAUGUUGGAAUCAUUCAACGGUUGCGAAUGUCAAUGUAGUUUAUAUGUUCUCUUAUGUUAUGUACUUUUUUCCAUUUUCUCUGGAUUAUCGGUAAAAAAUUUAUGUAAUUGCUUUGGAUAAAUUUAAUAAAUAAGAUUACUGUCGAAACCGCUUUUUUGAAAAACAAAAAUUUGGUUGUCGACAUUAAAAAUAAAACUGGAGUCGCCACCGAUCCUUUAUUAAGGUGCGAUUGGCCCACCUUAAAAAUUAUUUUGGCCUACGAAUUUUGAGAAAACGAGUUCGGGAGUCAGUUACGCACGAGGAAGUGUUAGCACCCUCGUAACGCCCAAAAUCGGUACCAAAUUGAUUAUUUGAUGUCUUAGUGUCGAAUGUUAAAAAGAUUUUUAAAACAACUCAAAUGAUGAAAUCUGAAAAGGAUACUCAAUUGUUCAAGUCAUGUAAAGAAAUCGAGUCCCAAUACGUUAGGGUACAAUUUCUCAAAAUUCUCGAACUUUGAAUAUCACUUUUAUUUUAUGCGAAAAUUUUCAUUUUGGGAAAGUAACAUGCCACACCCAAUACGUUAGGACACGACAAGUUAAGUUCCCAAAAAUGAUUUUUAUUCUCAUGCAUUUUGAAUAAAGAAUAUUCCCAGCUUUUUAAGAUUGACAAAGAAAAUCAGAACCCAAUGCGUUAGGGCUCAAUUUUCCUCGGAAAUCCCAAACUUCGAAUAAUGCUUUUAUUAAAAAAACCUUUGAAUCAUGAAAAUAACUUUGAUAUACGGUUAAAACCAAAAUAUAUUUUCAAAAGGGUACAUUGAAAAGUUAGUGUACAAUAUGAUACAAAACUUCAAUUUAAAAUACAUGUAUAUAUGUGUCUUUUCAAAAUAUAAGUAUGAGACAUAAAUAAAUUUUGAAAACGUGUAUGAGCAUAUAUUAAAACGGGUAUAUAUAAGUAUACGUAUAUAUAAAAAAAAUGAAAUAUAUAAAACAAAACAAAAACCUAUUAUAAUUUUCUAAGAAAAUAUGCAUGUAUGUAUAUGUAUGCGAAAUUUAUGAAAAUAAGAUAAAAGUAUAAAAAUAUGUACAUGUGUAUAUAUUUACAAAAAAGUAUACAUAUAAAAUAUAAAGUAUAUAUAAAAAGUAAAUAACAAAAAUAAAAAAAACAUAGGUAUAAAAUAUAUGCAUUUAUUUAUAAAACUUUAAUAUAUAUAUAUAUACCUAUAUAAAAAAAACCCAUAUGUAUAUUAUAUAUAAAAAAACUAUGCGUAUAUAUAUAUGUAUAGAAAAUAUGAUAAUAAUCAAUAAUAAUAACUAAUAUAAUAAAAAUAAUUAAUUUUAAUGAUAAAAUAAUUAAUAACAAGGGACCCAAAUUGAAACUACAGGAAACUUUCAGGUAAACAUUUAAAAUAAUAAAAGCUGAAAACUAAUUUGUAGUGCCCUGGAAACAUCAGGGAGUAAACGAGCAAAUAUACCAGCCCCUUAUACGCAGCGUUUUCAUGUUGGACCAAAUUGAAACAGGAAACAGACGUGCGGUCAAAAUUAAAAAUAAAAAAAAUUGUAUUGAAGGUGACUCAAAAACAGAGGGACCAGUUGCGCAAAUUCCCCAUUCAGGGCCAGAACGCGCGGACCCUGCUUGCGGGUCGGGUCGACGCGCGGAUCUGGCCCCUUGCAAAACGGCGCCGUUUCACUCUUAUUAUUUAAAACAGUUUUCUUCUUCUUUUUUUCUGAAAUCUGUAGCCAACAAACAAAAAAACUUUUAACCCUCUGCUAGGUUUUUUUUAAAAAAAAAACUCCUUUUGUUUUUACGCCGUCGCUCGUCGGCCACCGGAGCUCCGAUGACGGCAGAGAUGGUAGCAAACGGCGGCCCGAACACAGAGGUAAACUCCUCUUCACUCUCUUCUCUUUAUAAAUCAACAGUAAACAUGGAAGAAAAAAAAUGAACGCCGAACAAAAAAACCACCUUUAUAUUCAAGAAAAGUUUGUAUUUUCCUUUCUUUUUCUCUGUAUUUUUCAGUGUUUUUGUGUGCACUCCUUUACACCGAAAAUCCCCCCUUUAUUCUCUUUACAAAUCUGUUUAUAUAUAACCGAAAAAUAUAAAAAAUGUAAAAUCAAAGAAAUAUUUUCUGUUAUUGCUGCACUUUCUGCCAUUUUCUAGUUUUUUCUCGCAGGUAUGGGCACUGUUGGGGAGUGCUCACGCUCGUGGAGGCGCAAAUCGCGCGGAGGGAGGACUCUGGCCCGCAUUGUGCGGCGGCUGGAGUUGUUGGAGGCUGCCAUUAGGGUUUGGGGUAUGGGGGUUGCUAGUUGGGCCAGGUUUAGGGUUAUUGGGCCUGUAUAUUUGGUUUUUUAGUGGGCCGGACAAUUUGGGCUUGUACAGUUGCCCCUCUUUGCUGGUUGUCGUAUAACGGCAACAGAGCAAAGACUACGAGGCCCAAUUGUGCCCGGUCUUCCUGAGUCUUAACUUCUUCCAUGCCUCUCUUCUUUAGGUAGCCUCAUUCAUUCCUACUGCAUUUUCAGAGGUAUAGGAACUAGCUUCAAUCCACUCCACCGCAAUGUCAGGGAGAUAGGCUUCGUACGUUUUAGCUUCUCAAAAAGAACAAAAUUUGCUAUCUUUAAUCUGCUCCAUUGCAACUUCAGGGAGAUAAGAUUUGUAGCUUCAAUUUGUUCUGCUACAACUUAAAGAUAAGUCCGAUGCGAUCUGCUUUACUGCAACUUCAGAGAGAUGAGAUCUGUGGUCUUAAUCCACUCCAUUGCAACUUCAAGGAGAUUGGAUUGGUUACUUUUGUAUGCUCCACUGCAACUUUAGGGAGACAAGACUUGUAUCUUCGAUCUACUUCACCACCAGUAUGGGAAGACAAGAUCUGCUUUCUUCGAUCUACUUCACGCCAAUACAUGAAGACAAGAUCUGCUUUCUUCGAUCGAUUCCACUACCGAUCGGGGAGAUAGAAUAACUGGCUUCAAUAUACUCCACUGCAACUUCAGGGAGGUAAAAUUCGCCAUCUUCGAUCUGCUCCACUACUGCUUAGGGAGGCAAAAUCUGUAAUCUUCAAUCUAUUCCACUGUUGCCCAGGGAGAUAUAAUUACUGGCUUCAAUGUACUCCACUGUAACCUCAGGGAGGUAAAAUCUGCCAUCUUCGAUCUGCUUCACUACUGCUUAGGGAGGCAAGAUCUGUAAUCUUCAAUCUACUUCGCCACCAGUAUGGGAAGAUAAAAUCUGUAUAUUCGAUCCACUUCACUACCGAUAUAAGAAUACAAGACCUACUAUCUUUGAUGAAGACAAGAUCUGUUUUCUUCGAUCUACUUCGCCACCAGAAAAGGAAGACAAGAUCUGGUAUCUUUGAUCCACUUCGCUACCAAUAUAGGAAGACAGGAUAUAGUAUCUUUGAUCUACUUCACGCCAGUACAUGAAGACAAGAUCUGUUUUCUUCGAUCUACUUCGCCACCAGUAUGGGAAGACAAGAUCUGGUAUCUUUGAUCUACUUCGCUACCAAUAUAGGAAGACAGGAUCUGGUAUCUUUGAUCUACUUCACGCCAGUACAUGAAGACAAGAUCUGUUUUCUUCGAUCUACUUCGCCACCAGAAUAAGAAGACAAGAUCUGGUAUCUUUGAUCCACUUCGCUACCAAUAUAGGAAGACAGGAUCUAGUAUCUUUGAUCUACUUCACGCCAGUAUAUGAAGACAAGAUCUGUUUUCUUCGAUCUACUUCGCCACCAGUAUGGGAAGACAAGAUCUGGUAUCUUUGAUCAACUUCGCUACCAAUAUAGGAAGCCAGGAUCUGGUAUCUUUGAUCUACUUCACGCCAGUACAUGAAGACAAGACUUGCUGAAGAGCUUUCUGGGCUUGACAUGUGUUUAGGAGAUCUACCAUACUCUAUCGAUGGCCCAAGAUGUCGCAUACCCUUUCCUGCUGAUUCUGGUAUAGCAAGACCACUGUAUAUCCCAUUUUGAUCAGUAUUUGAGCUGCUCUGAUUACUUCAUGCCCUAUUCUGAUCAAUAUUUGAGCCGCCCUUUUCGGGUUUUCAACUCAAAUCCCUUUUGGUCUAAGGCGCCCUUUGCGAGUUUUCACCUUAACCUCUCCAUUUUUUACUCAAAGCUCCCUUUGUAGGGUUUCACAUUGGCCUUUUUUUUGACUCAAAGCGCCAUUUGUAGGCUUUCACCUUGGUCCCACCUUUUAGGAAAAGUACUUCCUAACGGAAUUUGAGUUUACAUAGCUUGGAGAAUCUUUACCAUCCAUCUUACUCAGGAUCAAAAUUUUCCCCAGAAAAGGCUUUCUUUAUGACAUAUCCUCUUAAUUUGGCAUCCAUCUUCCUCUAAAAUCCUUUUGUAUAGGAAGGAUUUGCUUCCCCUUGUGAAAAUUUCUAAGACGAGCCUUUGGAUCUUCCUCUUAGGAUAAAAAUGCAGAGAAAUGACAAUUCGACUUCAAUGAGCAAAGCUAUGAUAAACCAAAGUGAAAGACAUUGCCCCAGUAAAGGAAUUUCACUGAGCAUAUCCGGGUAUAACCAUGUGAAGACAUCAUUGAAUUCCUAGGGUAACUCAUAAGGUCUUGCUUUGCUUCUUCAGUCAUACAUGUUCCUUCAAGGUCACAGUCUUCAUUGUCUUUUCAUGAGGUAAAAUCUUCUUCCUGCUCUACCAUCCUUAAUAAAUCCAGAAAUAAGCUACGAUCCAUGUCAUCUUCAAAGUUGUGAGAUCCCUCUAAACACAUGUCUCACUCAAAAGGAGAUUCUAAAUCUGUAGCAGUGUCAUUCAUGUCAUUGAUAUUUGGGGACCUAUAGUGGGUACCAAAAAAAAGAAUGUAUGAAUAAUAUGAAUGAACGAAUGAAUGAUUUGGCAGGAGAAAUCCAAUAGAAUGAAGAAAACGUAAAGACUGAAAGAACAUUUGCUCAAAGAUUAUUGCAAUAAUGUAUUCAUUAAAAAUAAUAAUGUUCAGACAUGAGCCUAUUUCACAAAGGAGUUCUUAUUGAUUUUAGGCUAAAAGCAACAAGUGUGUUCUGAACAUUACUCUAUCAAGCUCUAAAUAACAUAGGAGUUUCCUCUGCAGUCCCAUUAUUUAUAACACCUCCCAGGCGGAUAUCUGACCAGAACCCUUUUAAUUGCGUCUGCACAUAUGGCGUCGAUGUGAAAAUCUCAUCACUUCUCUACACAUCACACACCCCCCAUUAUCAAUCAUGAUUGGGUAAUGGACUCUCUGCACUUGAUGAGUCACCAAAUUUAACAACACCCAUGUCGAUGAGUCUUUCAACUUGCUUCUUGAAGGCAGUGUAAUUCUCAAUCGAAUGUCCCCUAAUUCCCGCAUGGUAUUCACAUUGCGCGUUCGCAUCAUACCAUUUGGGAUACGGAGGUUGUAGAGGCUUCACAGGAAAAGGGGAAACAACAUGGGCAUCAAACAGAUUUUGAUACAGUUUCCUAUAUGGUAUUAGAAUUGGCGUGAAUCGGGGCCUCUCUGUGUUUUGUCCUGUACUAGCUUCCUGUCUCGAUGAACCUUGCUGGUUAGCAGCCACCUUUCUUAGCUGACUUACCGUAACUGAUUUAGAGUAACCCAUGUUGUUCACCUCAUCUUCUCUUCUCCUUGAGACUGACCUCUUGUUACUCUCUCCAACAUCGAUCUUUCCACUUCUUAUGGCAUUUUCGAUCAUCUCGCCAUUCAUGAUUAUGUCGGGAAAGCUUUUUGUAGCACUCCCCAACAUAUGUGUAAUGAACGGUGCCUUCAGGGUGUUAAUGAACAACAUGGUCAUUUCUUUUUCCAGGAGCGAUGGCUGAACUUGGACUGCGACCUCCCUCCAUCUCUGCGCGUAUUGUCUAAAGCUUUCACUCGGCUUCUUCUCCAUAUUUUGAAGGGUGAUCCUAUCAGGAGCCAUGUCCGUCACAUGACUAUACUGUUUCAUGAAUGCUUGUGCCAAGUCCCUCCAUGAUCCAAUCGUGGCACGACUCAAUUGAUUGUACCACUUGGAUGCUGCCCCAGUAAGGCUGUCUUGGAAACAGUGUAUCAAGAGUUGGUCGUUGUUAACAUAACCCGUCAUUCGCCUGCAGAACAUGGUGAUGUGAGCUGCUGGGCAGCUUGUCCCAUUGUACUUUUCAAAUUCAGGCAUCUUAAACUUAUGAGGGAGAACAAGGUCUGGCACCAAACUCAGCUCUUUUGCGUCAAUGCCCCGAUUACUUUCAGUGACUUCCAUCGCUUUAAACUUCUCCUCGAGCCACUUGCAUCGAUCCUCUAACUGUUUCGGUAAUUCCACCUUUAUUCUUUCCUUCUCAACCACUUCAUCAAAGUCAGGAAUGGUAGAGUUAACAUGAUUAUUUUCAAGAUUAGAACUCGGCCCAGUUUGGAGGUUCGAAAUACCAGCCCGAAACUGCUGAGGCAUGAUAGUGACAGUAGAUUUGCGCGGGUAUUCAGCUUGGGCUCGCGUAUGUGGAGGGGUGAAACCUAGAGUGUAAAGAAUUUCAUCAUCAUUUCCCUCAUCGACAUUUGCCAUGGGACCCUUUCCUUUAUCACUUCCCUUAGUUAUCAGUCGGGUUAACUUUUCCACUAUAUCCUCCUGAGAUUCCCGUAUCUUCUCAGACAUUUCUUGCUUCAUUUUGUCUAACCGCUCCUGCAUUUGUAGCUGAAGCCGGUCUUGCAUCUCCUUCUGGUACUGUUCGAGCUUCUCUAAUCUCUGAUCCAUAUCUUUUGUCUUUGCUCGAGUGCCGUAACGGUGCUUGGUAGGUUGGUUGGUUUCCAGGUUAACUGAGCAAUGAUUUUAAUUAAUUAGGAUCAUUUAGAGGUGUUUAAUGCAUAUGAUGCAAUGUGAUGCAAAUGCAUGAAAUGAAUGCCUAAAGAGAUGUUAACUUUGAUUCAAUUACAUUCAAAAAACUUUACUAGAAGACGAAUUUCUUUACAUAAAGUAGAUAUAUAUAUACGACUUUGCCCUCAUAUUCCAGUCGAAGACAUCUUCUCCUUCUCUAUCCGGAUGCUAGGAUAAACCUUGCGAAUUCUUCAAAAGGAACGUCUCUUCUACCUCCUGGGCUGUGACUCGUUGCUCCUUUAUCGUCGCGAUGCUCGUUGGCUUCCCUUAAAAAAAAGUUCAGCGGCUCUCGAAUAAUCUUCAUCUGUAAUGGCCCAAAUUCAAAAUUAUCGGAAUAGUGGUUUCGUAACCACAAAUCUGAUUUAAAGAGAAAUUUAUUUUAAUAUUUUUGCAUGAAUAUUGAUAUGAUAGGAAAAAUCGUAUGAAAAUAUCGAUAGAAAAAUUUAACUGAUUAAGUGGUUAGUUAGAAAAAGAAAUUAUUGAAGGAAUUAGGUAAAAAUAAGAUAUCGAGACUUCGAUCUCGUAAAACCGAGUCAAAAAUAUUUUUAUAAAUAUUUAUGAAGUGUUAGUAAUAUGGUAUUAAAAUUUCGUUAGAAAAUAUUAAUGUUUGGGUAGUCAAUUAAGUGAAAAGGACUAAAUUGAAAAAGAUGUAAAAGUUACUAGAGGGAUUAAAUAGCUCAAUUGUGAAAUGAGGAGGGACAUAAAUUGCAAAUAACCUCAAAAGGAGAUAUUUUGGGCGGCAUACGCUGAGAAAAAUCAGGAGAAUUGAAGAAAUAAGGGUAAAAUUGGAAUAUUACAAAAUUUGCUUUAAAAGUUAGGACUAAAGUGGAAUUAUCUAGAUUUCUCUUUAAUUUUCUGCACUCUCAUCAGCCACAAACGUCCUAAGGGUUUCUUCAAGCUGGUUUUUCAUAAUUUUUGCACCAAGUGAGUUAAUUCUUGCCUUUUUCUUGUAAUUUUUGCAUUUCUAAGACUUUUACAACUAGGUCCUAUUACUUAAUUCAUUAGUUUUUGAUUUUAUGAAUGAUAUUGAAAGUUGAUAUGAAUAUGUACUGGAAUUUUAUGAGGAAAUAGGAUGAAAUUGAAGCUUUAAUUUGUUUAUGAGAUGAUUUUAUUAGGUAAUUCCAAUAGAAAUUGAUUUGUAGGACCUAAUUGUGAAAAAGUUUGGAAUUAAAGUUUAGUGCUGAAAUUCUUAUUUCCAAAGGUUAUAAGGUAGUUUAAAGUGAUAUAAUAAAGUGUUGAUUGAGAAAAAUUAGCUCAAUUGAGAGGUUAAUUGAGCAGGGACGAAAUUAUCAUUGUUGAAAGUUUAGGGGAAAAAUGGUAAUUAACACCAUGCACUAAAACAGUUUUGGACAGCAGCAGUACUUAACUUUGAAAAAUCACAAAAUAUUAAAGGUUAUUGAGUCUAGUUUCUUAUAAAAGAAACGGUGUAAGAAAUGGAAUUGUAAAUCAUGAGAUAUAAUAGAAUUUGUGAGACAAGGUCAGAAUGAAUUCGGGUUCCCCUGUUCUGAUUUUGGAAAAUCAUUAAAAAUUGUAAAAAAACGAUUAUGAGUUAUAAUUUAUAUGCUUAGAAUCCUUAAUGAGUCUAUUUUCUGAGGAAAUAAAGGGAAGCAUCAUCCUAAUUCUGUACAGUGAGAUAAUUAAUUUUUAGUGAAGAGGGGUCAGAACUGUCAUACAGUGAAACAGGGGAAACUUUAAAGAAUAAACUGUACUUAUUGGCUAAACCAAAAAUUCUGAAAUUUUUAUGGUAAGAAGAUAUGUGAGUCUAGUUUCAGGAAAAAUUAACGGAUCUUAAUUUGGAGUUCUGUAGCUCAAGAUAUAAAUAAUUUAGUGACUGUGACUCAGUGAGGCAGCUUUGAAUGCACUAUAAAUAAUAAUGGAAUUGUAGAGAAAGUUACAUAUGAACAUGAAAUGUAUUAGAUUAAUGAUUAAAUUUAUUUAUUUAGAUCCGGAAAAUUCAAAUACGAAGCAAGAUCGAGGAAAAGAAAAAGUUCGGGAUUAGUAGAUUUUUGGUUACGAACAAGUGUCGAGGUAAGUUCGUGUAACUUGAAUUAUAUUCAUAAAUGCUUGAAAUGUUUGUUAUUGAUGUGAAUAUGAGUUGGAUGUUUAUUGUAUGAUAAUUGAUGAAGUAUUGAUAUUCUUGAUGAAAAGAGAAAAUAAAUCCCGGUUGAAUGAAAGGAAAAUUCGAUGGAUCUCUGAAAAGGAAUUGACGGUAAAAAGGAUCUAGCCCGGACGGGUGAUCCUAUCCUGAUAUAGCCCUCCCGAAGAAUAUGUGGAAAAUUGAUUUAGCCCGGACGGGUAAUCCGAAUUAGGGUCUGAAUUUAGCCUGGACUGGUAAUUCAGAUCCAAGCUCAUUAGAGUAAUUGUCGUUGCAGGGGAUUUAGCCUGGACUGGUAAUCCUGACAAUACUCUAUGAGUUUAUAUUACAGGGGAUUUAGCCUGGACUGGUAAUCCCGCUGUAAGGAUGAGGUUCGCGGGAGUGUGCUCUCUGAAAUAGAAAUGUGCGCACAUGAAUAUGAAUUGACGGACCCGGAUUUGUACACUUAGGUGUACCCCAGAAUAUCCAUCGAAAUUCCAAGUAGUUCAACGGGAUAAAUGUGGAAAAAUAAUAAGGAAAUGGAAAUCAUGGAAUUGAUGAGCUCAUCAAUCAUUUAUCUUUGUAAUGAAUUUGUAUGAGGUUGAGUUUGUAUGUGAUAGGUAUAUGUUUAUGUGAAUUGGAUGUGUGCUUGUGUUAUUAAAUGAUGGAUGUAUAAGUAUGGUAAGUAUAAUUCCUGUUGCAUGAACUUACUAAGCACAAAGUGCUUACCCUGUUUCUUUUUCCCCUGUUUGUAGAGUUAAGAGCUCGGAAGUCGGAUUUGGUCGGAGACACAUCACACUAUCAAUCUCGAGAUCUCGGUACAUAAAGGAACUUUAUUUUGGAAAUCAAUGGCAUGUAUAAGCUAGUAAAUUAGAUGUUAAUGUGAAAUGAAUGUAUGGUUAGCCAUUGGUAUGGCUAACAAAUUUUGGUUUUGGUAUGUGAUGAAAUUAUCUUAUGAAUAUGAUAAAUCUAUCUUAAAAAAAAAAAUUCGGUAAAAUCUGGUAAUGCCUUAUACUCUAUUUCGGCGACGAAUACGGGUAGGGGGUAUUACAUCAUCAGCUUGAGUCUUCGGGCAACGGAGCAAUGGUUAUGUAGUCCUCCAUUAAACUAUCAUCUUCCUCUAGUUGUGUUUUCUCGGAACAUAUUCGGGCAACCGUAUUAUUUUCCACUUUAUCAAGAAACCCAUUUCCUUAUGACAAGCUCUCUAUUAACAACCGAACGUGAAUCAACACCUCUUUUAUGAUGAAAAAUGCAAUGCAAUCAUGAUGUCAUGCAAUCAAAACAAAAUGCAACAAGUUAGUAUCGGGUAUAAACAUUAAAUCCAAUAUAAGCAAGAAAUAAUAAAAACUCCUAGUCAGGUAUCUCCUAAGGUUUAGAGUACUUCUACCUAAGGUAAGUUCCUAAAGCUCACUAUAUGAGGUUUAGUUUCUAGAGUAAAGGUACCCGAACCAGCAGAUUCCUCGAUCCUCACCCAUUAUAGGCUCAUGUGGAUCAAGUUUAGUUCAGGGGGAUACAUUUCCCUAUGGCUGCACGGAGAUGAAAAUCUCACGAAGACAUAGGUACGGAUGUAUCCCGGAAGCGAUCCACUACCCUGCACGGAGGUGAAAACCUCACGAAGGACUAGUUUCUCGCUCCCACUUAAAGGGUAAAAUGCAAAAUGCAAAUGCAGAGUUGCCAACAUACCAAAACUCAAUGAAUACGAAGGGAACUCAUGAAAUUUUUUUUAAAACACUUUUGAUUUUCGACACAAAGACAAAUAUAAUCGGUUUAUGGCUCGACUCUCCAACGUCCCCAGUGGAGUCGCCAAGCUGUCGAAACCGCUUUUUUGAAAAAUAAAAAUUUGGUUGUCGACUUUAAAAAUAAAACUGGAGUCGCCACCGAUCCUUUAUUAAGGUGCGAUCGGCCCACCUUAAAAAUUAUUUUGGCCUACGAAUUUUGAGAAAAUGAGUUCGGGAGUCAGUUACGCACGAGGAAGUGUUAGCACACUCGUAACGCCCAAAAUCGGUACCAAAUUGAUUAUUUGAUGUCUUAGUGUCGAAGGUUAAAAAGAUUUUUAAAACAACUCAAAUGAUGAAAUCUGAAAAGGAUACUCAAUUGUUCAAGUCAUGUAAAGAAAUCGAGUCCCAAUACGUUAGGGUACAAUUUCUCAAAAUUCUCGAACUUUGAAUAUCACUUUUAUUUUAUGCGAAAAUUUUCAUUUUGGGAAAGUAACAUGCCACACCCAAUACGUUAGGACACGACAAGUUAAGUUCCCAAAAAUGAUUUUUAUUCUCAUGCAUUUUGAAUAAAGAAUAUUCCCAGCUUUUUAAGAUUGACAAAGAAAAUCAGAACCCAAUGCGUUAGGGCUCAAUUUUCCUCGGAAAUCCCAAACUUCGAAUAAUGCUUUUAUUAAAAAAAACAUUUGAAUCAUGAAAAUAACUUUGAUAUACGGUUAAAACCAAAAUAUAUUUUCAAAAGGGUACAUUGAAAAGUUAAUGUACAAUAUGAUACAAAACUUCAAUUUAAAAUACAUGUAUAUAUGUGUCUUUUCAAAAUAUAAGUAUGAGACAUAAAUAAAUUUUGAAAACGUGUAUGACAUAUAUUAAAACGGGUAUAUAUAAGUAUACGUAUAUAUAAAAAAAAUGAAAUAUAUAAAACAAAACAAAAACCUAUUAUAAUUUUCUAAGAANNNNNNNNNNNNNNNNNNNNNNNNNNNNNNNNNNNNNNNNNNNNNNNNNNNNNNNNNNNNNNNNNNNNNNNNNNNNNNNNNNNNNNNNNNNNNNNNNNNNUAUGCGAAAUUUAUGAAAAUAAGAUAAAAGUAUAAAAAUAUGUACAUGUGUAUAUAUUUACAAAAAAGUAUACAUAUAAAAUAUAAAGUAUAUAUAAAAAGUAAAUAACAAAAAUAAAAAAACAUAGGUAUAAAAUAUAUGCAUUUAUUUAUAAAACUUUAAUAUAUAUAUAUAUACCUAUAUAAAAAAAACCCAUAUGUAUAUUAUAUAUAAAAAACUAUGCGUAUAUAUAUAUAUAUAUAUGUAUAGAAAAUAUGAUAAUAAUCAAUAAUAAUAACUAAUAUAAUAAAAAUAAUUAAUUUUAAUGAUAAAAUAAUUAAUAACAAGGGACCCAAAUUGAAACUACAGGAAACUUUCAGGUAAACAUUUAAAAUAAUAAAAGCUGAAGACUAAUUUGUAGUGCGCUGGAAACAUCAGGGAGUAAACGAGCAAAUAUACCAGCCCCUUAUACGCAACAUUUUCAUGUUGGACCAAAUUGAAACAGGAAACAGACGUGCGGUCAAAAUUAAAAAUAAAAAAAAUUACAUUGAAGGUGACUCAAAAACAGAGGGACCAGUUGCGCAAAUUCCCCAUUCAGGGCCAGAACGCGCGGACCCUGCUUGCGGGUCGGGUCGACGCGCGGAUCUGGCCCCUUGCAAAACGGCGCCGUUUCACUCUUAUUAUUUAAAACAGUUUUCUUCUUCUUUUUUUUUAAAAAUCUGUAGCCAACAAACAAAAAAACUUUUAACCCUCUGCUAGGUUUUUUUUUAAAAAAAACUCCUUUUGUUUUUGUGCCGUCGCUCGUCGGCCACCGGAGCCCCGAUGACGGCAGAGAUGGUAGCAAACGGCGGCCCGAACACAAAGGUAAACUCCUCUUCACUCUCUUCUCUUUAUAAAUCAACAGUAAACAUGGAAGAAAAAAAAAUGAACGCCGAAAAAAAAAACCACCUUUAUAUUCAAGAAAAGUUUGUAUUUUCCUUUCUUUUUCUCUGUAUUUUUCAGUGUUUUUGUGUGCACUCCUUUACACCGAAAAUCCCCCCUUUAUUCUCUUUACAAAUCGGUUUAUAUAUAACCGAAAAAUAUAAAAAAAAUGCAAAAUCAAAGAAAUAUUUUCUGUUAUUGCUGCACUUUCUGCCAUUUUCCAGUUUUUUCUCGCAGGUAUGGGCACUGUUGGGGAGUGCUCACGCUCGUGGAGGCGCAAAUCGCGCGGAGGGAGGACUCUGGCCCGCAUUGUGCGGCGGCUGGAGUUGCUGGAGGCUGCCAUUAAGGUUUGGGGUAUGGGGGUUGCUAGUUGGGCCAGGUUUAGGGUUAUUGGGCCUGUAUAUUUGGUUUUUUAGUGGGCCGGACAAUUUGGGCUUGUACAAUUACUUUUCCCAACAGAUAUCUUUGUCCUUUGCAACCAAAAAAAAAAAAAAACAAAGAAAAACCAACCAUCCUAUUUUCUAAUUUAAAAAAAUAUUUUCCUUUUUGUGAAAAUAGAUGUUUUCGAAGUAUUGUUGAUUCAAAAGUAACAAAUUUUUCAACAAGUCGAUAUUUUUCUCUCAAUAUUUUCUAAAAGAAUGACAAUUUCAUAAACAACAGCUAUACUCAUGCUAUUCAAAUGUAUCUUAAUAAAACCCUAUCAUCAUUGAUGUCUAAAAGGAAUUUUUUAUCCCAUUUAAAGCUAAAAGCAACUAUUUUUUUAAAAGCCAAAUUAGCUUUUCAAAACCAUCUUUUUUAAGUCAAAUCAAAAACUUCAAAUUUCGUUUUUACUUUUCUAAAGCUAGUUUUGAGUGUCUAAAUACAAUUUUAUCUCUCAUUUAAUCUAUAACUUUUAUAAAGUAUAGGGACUAAUAGCAGAAUUUAACCCAAAUUUUGUGAUAUUUGAUUCCUCUCCCAUUUUUCUAAUCCAAACAUAAAGUUAGAAAAGGGGAGAUUCCUAUGCUGCUCCAAAUUGUAAGGUUUAUAUCUUGUAGUGAAACAAAAUUACAAAAUUAUAAUUUUGUCAUGUGCCUUUGGAUUUUAAUUUUUUUUAAUAUAUGGUAGUAUUAUAAUUUCAUUAUCGAUGUAUAAAAAAAUAAUCCAACUAUAAUUGAGACCCAGGUAAAAAGCCAGAAAAUUUAUCUUAUCUUAUCUUUCUGCUCUUUUAAUCCUUUAAUGAUCUGUUAAUUUUUGAGAAAGGUACAAAUGAAAUUCUACGUGUGAGAGGAAUGUUAAACUAAGUCGUGAUUCUCUAAACUCCUGCAUGUAUUGCAAUUGAGGUGAUGGAUACAAUGAAUGUUUUGUAGAGUGUAAAUUCUUCUUCUUCUUCGAUUAAGGUUCAAUUUAUCACUUUGUAUAAGAUUAAGGGAAAGGGUAUGUAUGAGUAUAGCUUAAGAUUGUUUUUUUAUCCAUAAAAAAAAUGGUGAUCUAUUUUAUUUUAUUCUUUGCUUAAGGAUCGCGUGAUAUCCUUGAAAAAAAAUAUAAAGUAGUAGGAAUAAAUCCCAAAAUUAUAUAUAAAUUAUGGUUUAAUGUGUAAUUGUAUACAUAAAAUUUUAAUUUGAUCCAAUUCUUCUAAAUUAUUAACACAAUUAUCGAUAUAACAUCAUUUUAUGUUUAUAUAUUGCAUACAUAAAUAAUUAUAUUCAUCGGAUAUAAAAAUAAAUUGACAUAUUUAUUUCUUUAAAUGUGCAUGACUAAAUCAAAAUUGAAGUUUCAAGUAUACAUUUGAACCACAAUUAGAGUUUUAUGUGUAUAAUUACACCAAAUUAAAAUUAUGUAUACAAUUGCACAUUAAAUCAAAGUUCAUAUAUAAUUUUGAGAUUUAUCCUUAACUAAUAUAAAGAACGGAGAUUUAUUAGCGUAACUGUUUAUUUCAUUCGUAAAUCACUUAACUUUUCUUAUUGUUGUCCAUGAUUAUCAUUUUUUGUUCACAUUAGUACUAAAACUUUGUUAUUUUUCUCAAUUUGAUCUCUAAACUCAAAAUUUUUUAAGGUAUGAUGAUGUGACAUUAUGAGAUUAUGCAAUGUCAUCACUUGAAUUUUUUUAAAAGUUUUCUUUAUGGUUUCCCCCCUUAAAUUGGUUCAUUUUAUAAAAUUAUUAUUUUAAUAAACAAAUUUCAUGUUAGAAACUGAGAAAAAAUAUUUACUUAUAAAUAUUUUUAUAAUUUUAUAUAUUUUUAUAAUCUUAUGUAUUUUUAUCAAGAAUGAGCUUGUAAAUAGUUUUUUUAUGUUUUGAAGUUUUUUUACUUUUAAGAAUUAAGACUAAAUUGAUAAAAUGUGUGAAGUUGAGGGUUAAAUUUGUUAAAAUUUUUUAUUAUGCCAAUAAAAAGAGGCCAUUAAAGUGAUUUAAUGGAUGAGUGACCAAAAUAUUAAAUUUCAAUAACGUUAAUAACUAAAAUAGUAAUUUUUAAACCUGCGUAAACCAAAACAAAAAUAUGCUAGUAAUUGGAUGUCUAUUUUUAUAAUUUACCCAUAAUAAUAUUAAAUGCAAGAUGCAAAGGUAAAAAGAAUCAAAUUAAAUUAUCAUUUUUUAUGAAACCCAAAAAUACAAAAUUAAAAGACUAAAAAAGAAAAUAAAUAAAAUUAUUAAUUUUUGAGAAGGAUCAUCUAAAAGGGGUGAAGUGCACUUACAUGUUCCCUCGAUAGUCUAUGAUUUGAGAGGAGUUAGACGUAAAUUAUUCUGGUUCUUUGAAUAAGAUUCAAUUAAUCACUUUGGAUGGAUUAAGGAAAAGAGUAGCUAUGGAGAUUGCUUAAGAUUGUUUUUCAUCACUUUGAAUCAUUCUUUACUUCAAGUCGAACAUACUUUACAACUAAUUUUUGCAAUUUUCAAAUAAAUGAUAGUUAGUGGUUCAUGUCAUUUUGCAACUCUCCUAUUUUGUUCAUCACUUUCAUUACUUAAAAGAGUACUAUAUAAUAAUAAUUCUUCACUUCACAUGGCAGCUGGAACAGGAAAUAUUGAUGCCUUUUACGCUCUAGUUCGAGAGCAUCCAUACAUGUUGGAGCAUAUUGAUCAGAUUCCUUCCAUCGAUACUCCACUUCACAUAGCAGCAAAUGAAGGCCAAAUUAAUUUUGCAACGGAGAUGAUGAACUUGAAGCCUUCAUUUGCUCGGAAGCUGAACCAAGACGGGUUUAGCCCCAUGCACUUGGCGUUCAGAAAUGGGCACCCCAAGCGAAUGCUUCGACUGUUGAAAAUCGAUAAUGAUCUGGUUCGCGUCAAAGGAAGGCAAGGGAUGACCCCAUUCCUUUGGGCUGCCACAGUGGGGAACAGGGAUUUAAAUUGCGGUCGCAUUGCGUUUAUCGUGGUUGCGGGCAUAACGGAUGCUAUUGCGGUUAUUGCGAGUAUCGAGGUCGUGAAUUUUAAAAAAAAUUCACACAACUUAUUGUAAAAUAUAAUAGCAGUUUCGGACGGUGCCGCUACCGCUAUUUAACGGCGCUAUUUCGGUAACGGACCGCUAUUUAAAUCCCUGGACUGGACUGGGGAACUCUAAUCUUUUAUUCCAGUUCCUUGAAGCUUGCCCUGAAUGCAUGGAAGAUGUGACGGUUCGAAACGAGACUGCAUUAAGCUUCGAAAAACGACCACAUCGGAGCUUUGAAUCUCUUGAUUGGAUGGCUUCAAAGGAACUGUCGUGGAGGAGCCUUUGAUUUGUCAGAAAAGGUUGUAAAUUGGAGAGAUGAAUAUGACAACACUGUGUUGCACAUUACAGCUAAAAAGGAACAAUAUGAGGUAUCUGCAAUGCAACUAUAUUAUCGUUUACUUUUGGGGUUUGAAUUUCUUUUUGCUGCCGGUAUUUAUCUGAUUGUGAUAAGUUUGAUUCUUUUGGUAGUGUUUGUAAGAGGAAUUUGGAUUUGACUUUCUGUUUUAUAAAUUCAUCAUUUCUAUUUUUUUUUUUUGUUUGGAUUUUUUGUUUAGAUGACUCAAAUUUAGAUUUGAGAUUCAACGACUUAAUUUUUUUAAAAUUUCAUUAUCAAGGAGGAUUUUGAAUAAAAUUGUCUGAACCCGACCAGUUAGACCGAGAACUAAUUAAUGUAUUGAUUCAGAGAAAGACAUUAAGUCGAUUGAAUUGGACAAAAAACCCCUUGAUCAAGUAGUUAAAACAGACAUUUUUAUUUUAUGAACCUUUAAUGAUUUAUUUAAUAAAACUGAACUGAUCGGUUGAACUAUCAAUUUGAUCAUUAGUUUUCAUAAUAAAGUGGAAAACGCAUUUUAUUCAUUCAAAAUCUAGGUUUUCAGAACCAAACUAUAGUAGUCAAACCUAUCAAACUGAUUGCUUUUUCCACUUUGUUUCAUUAAGUCGAGGUUUUCAAAAUAAGUAGUUUGAUCGGUUUGACUAUUAAUUUGAUUAUGAAAACAUUGAUCUUGAAUGAAUAAAAUGAUUUUUCCACUUGGUUAGGAACAGUAGUUUAGGCUAAAACUAAUUGGUGUUUGUAUAUUAUUUGAAAGAGUUUUUUUUUUCUGAAAGAAUGUAACUUUCUGUUUUUAUAUUUUUAUAAGUUUUUGGGUUAAAAUAUUAGAAAGGACUCUCAAUUUUAUUGUAUUAUUUAUACUUUGUUUACACUUAAAUAAAAUCAUAUAAUUUGAUUUGUACUUAAAUAAAUGGACUUAGAUGUAAAUUAAGAGUCGAGGGUUUAUAAAUUAAAAUCGUGAAAAUUAUGGUAUAAAUGAAAAUUUUAAAUAUUUAUACUGUAUUAAAUUAAAUGCAUUAAGCUUCGUCACUGUUUUCAAAAUUGGACUGGCUUGUCAAAUCGAUUGGAUCGUGAACCAACCGGGAUACCAAUCCAGAAUAAGGAGUCACACCAGUUGAACCGAUCGGAUCAGUCGAUCGGAUUAGUCAAACUGGUCGGAUNNNNNNNNNNNNNNNNNNNNNNNNNNNNNNNNNNNNNNNNNNNNNNNNNNNNNNNNNNNNNNNNNNNNNNNNNNNNNNNNNNNNNNNNNNNNNNNNNNNNNNNNNNNNNNNNNNNNNNNNNNNNNNNNNNNNNNNNNNNNNNNNNNNNNNNNNNNNNNNNNNNNNNNNNNNNNNNNNNNNNNNNNNNNNNNNNNNNNNNNNNNNNNNNNNNNNNNNNNNNNNNNNNNNNNNNNNNNNNNNNNNNNNNNNNNNNNNNNNNNNNNNNNNNNNNNNNNNNNNNNNNNNNNNNNNNNNNNNNNNNNNNNNNNNNNNNCAAUUUUUUUUUUUUUGUUAUGAAAUUAGAUUUACGUUUCCAAAGAGUGGAUUUGAUAAUGUAUUAAUUAUGCAGGCACUGAAGCUGUUGUUAUAUACAAUGUUGGGUUACAUGUAACAGCUAAGAACUCGGAAGGUUUGAUGGCUCGAGAAAUCAUAGAAAAUGUUGAAAGAAAAGGCUUGAACAUGAGUGGUGAAGAUGAUGACACUGCCGACAAGAUUAAGCGCAUUAAGAAAAAACUUGAUACCCUAGAACUAAUAUUAAUAGUGUUAAUUCGUGCAAGGAAUGGAUUGUCGGAGAACAUGAUCAACGCAACGCUGGUGACUGUGGCACUGGUUAUAACAGCAGUCGACCAAUCAUCUUUCAGCCCACCCAGAGGUGUUUGGCAAGUUGAUAACAACAGUAUCCCCACCACCACCUCAAACGUUACUACUACUGCUCUUCAAAUCUUUGACGACAAUUACAAUAACUCCAGAUUCAAACACCUGUUGGGUCAAGAAUCAAGGAAAACAGGUACAACAAUCAUGAAUCCCGACUUGUAUUCAAUGUUUUGGGUUUGUAAUCUCCUGACAUUUGAGCUUCCGCUCCUCUCCAAUGUUCCUUCUUUUCUUCUCAUCCCGCUUUAUUAUCUAAGCGUCUCCUACUUUUACUCGAUGACACUAAUAUCCCCGUCGUGGUUCUGGGAAAACGUCAAUUAUAUUCUCACGUGGUUAGCCAUUCUUCUCCCACUUCGCUUACUUCGCUUAAUCAUACGACCACUUAUGUCACCAGCUUACAAGGAGUACAUACGCUUACAUAGAGCUGUUACUAGAGCCAACAAAGUCGGGAUCAUCCAACCCUUGCUAAGGGGUAAUCUAGUUGAUAUUUUAUUAUGUCCUUGAUUUUUUUUUUAAUUGAACUUCUUUUUCUUUUUGUUUAUGUAAUUGCUUGGGAUAAAUUUAUGAAUAAAAUUACUUUGGUUAAACUACAUCAAUAGUCUUUUAAUUUUGUUUAUAUUUAUGUUUCAAUCACUAAAUUUUUAAAACUUAAAAAUUUAUUAUUAAUGUUAUCGGAUUGUUAUUAGGAUAAUACGGGUUUGAUGUGAAACGUUAAAUAUGCCAUAUGUUUAAAAAAAUUUCCUUUCUCUCCUUUUUCGGAUAUUAAAAUAUUUCUUCUUUUCACCUUAUCCUCUCUUCUCCUUCUUUCUCCACCAUUAAUGGUCUCACCAUCUUACUAUUGCCAGUACUCACCAGUCACCACUAUCAACAAUUUCACCAUCUCACCACAACCAAACAUGAACCAACAAACCGACUUUACCCAUAAUAAUACUCAAUAUAAGGUGUUUUUAUCUCUUCCCUUUAUGAAUAUAAUUGGUUCGAUUUUUUGGUUCAAACAAUCAACACUCUAACAGUCAAUAGACUGUGGGAUAGAUCACGUGCAAAACCAACCUAACCUAUGAGUAUAUCCAGAAGAGAAAAAUUAUACAAGUCCAACUCCCCCACAAGUUGCCAAUCGGCUCAUCCACCUUCGAAUUGAUUGGUGCAAUUGGAAUUACAUUGCCAAAUGAAAUACAUGAAGUUCAAGUGCUGACCAUCUACUAGAGGUGGACCAAGUAAAGACCAAUAUUCCAGUGUUGAUUCUCCAAGGCCCUCGAAGAGCCACCAACGCUGACAUCGCCUCCAGACUUGAUUGUUAUUAUUAUAUUCUUUUCAAAUUAUUUUAGUUGUUGUUUAGAAUGGAUCGUGACUAAUUUUUAUUAUGUAAACAAGUUUUGAAUAUUUUAUAUGAUUGAGAGACUUGUAUGGAUGAUUAUAUUGAAUUUAGAGAGCAGUUAAAUUAUUCAAGUGAAAAAAGUUAUUUUGUAAUAGUGCAUUUGAUUGUAAAAUCUUUUUGUUGUGAUUUUAUAGGCUAAGUUCUCAGGUGAUAGAUCUAGUCUUCAAGGUACAAGAGUAAUUAAGGAUUUUAAACCGGGAUGUGUUAGAAUUAUGUUCAAUGGUUGUAAUUGUUGAAAAAUAGUGGAUUCUUCUCAUUGAAUUAGGCAUAGUAGGCAUAGAGAAAUUGAAUUGCGUCAACAACCUUGUUAUCCUCUAUUUUAAUUUUGGUAUCACAAUGCUUGCAGAAGUACCCACCUCUGCAAUCACUUUUGCUCGUAAUUGCGUAAAUAACAUUGUUAUCCUCUUUUUUUGCCAUUGUUUUUAUAAUUUAAAAACUUUUUUUAUAACUUUAAAAUGUAAAUUUUAGGAUUUUAGAGCUUUUUGAUGUUUUUAGAUUUUUAAAAAACAAAAUUUAGAAUUAUUGUUUAAAAAAUUUUAAAAGUAUGAAAACAAUAUUUUUAGUUAUAGUCAAUUUUGUUAUUAACCCUUUGAAUUAGCGUGUCACAAUCCUCUUAACAGGAGUUAAAGGAUGGGUGACCAAAAUAUAACAAUUUAAUAACGGUAGUAACUAUGACAUAAAUUUUGAAAGUUAAGCGACUAAAAUAUAAAUUUGAAGUUUUUUUUAGGAAUUAUUGUUAUAAGUUGCCCUGAUUUUAAAUUGAAUGAGAAAAAGAGGUAUUAGUUAUAGAAAGCAGUAGAAUGACAGACAACAAGCAUCUAUUUUUAUUGUUGGUUUAAUGGCUAUGGGUAUUCGUACUUGAUUUAUGUCAUAAGUUCCAACAAAAGAUAUAAAAUAAAUGAAAAAAGAGUAUCAAACAAAUCAUAUAAAAACAGGUUUAUAAUUCGUAUUUUUCACGAUUAAUUAUGUACGUGUUUUUAAUUUAAAUUUUAUUCUUUAUUCGAUAUGAUUGGACAGCAUAUAAUUACUGUAGUAACUAAAAAAUGACUAAAUCCCUAAACAUGUUUAAUUGUAAUGUAAAUUAUGGUUUCAAUUUAAGAAACCAGCUUCCAUAAAUAAAAAGACUGGUUGUUUAUUGAGCCACUAGAAGAGGCGGCGGAGGAGGAGUCGCCUAAAAUUGGAAAUAAAAUGAUUUAACGUCCUUCUUUCUCCUUUGAAUAUUCCAAGCUGUCCAUUAGUUUGACUAGUAAAGUCUAUAUGAAGUAUGGAUAUUAUUCCAAAUCAUCAACUUUAUCCACCAACAUAGUUGAGCUAUUAACACGUGUCUAUUUAUUUGCAUAAAUCGAGCCAAUGGUUUUGGAAUACUUUCUAUGGGAAUGGGUAUAUCCUUUUUUUGGGGUCAAAUAAAUCUGAAUUACUAUUUUGGUACAAAAUAAUUGAUAAAAAAUUUAUAAUUUAAAAAAAGAAAAGAAAAGAAGUAACAAAUGUUAUAAAUGUUCCAUAUCUUCAAUUAUUUACCUCAAAAUUUGUUUUAUGAUCACUUUUUUUAAAAUUAAAUAAGAUUGAUUAAAAAUAUUCACCAUAUAAUUCAAAAUUUUAAACAUUUUAUUUUCAAACUCGUAUUCCUUAAUAAAUAAUAUAUUUUAAACUAUCUUGUUAAUACUAAUUUCUUGAUAANNNNNNNNNNNNNNNNNNNNNNNNNNNNNNNNNNNNNNNNNNNNNNNNNNNNNNNNNNNNNNNNNNNNNNNNNNNNNNNNNNNNNNNNNNNNNNNNNNNNNNNNNNNNNNNNNNNNNNNNNNNNNNNNNNNNNNNNNNNNNNNNNNNNNNNNNNNNNNNNNNNNNNNNNNNNNNNNNNNNNNNNNNNNNNNNNNNNNNNNNNNNNNNNNNNNNNNNNNNNNNNNNNNNNNNNNNNNNNNNNNNNNNNNNNNNNNNNNNNNNNNNNNNNNNNNNNNNNNNNNNNNNNNNNNNNNNNNNNNNNNNNNNNNNNNNNNNNNNNNNNNNNNNNNNNNNNNNNNNNNNNNNNNNNNNNNNNNNNNNNNNNNNNNNNNNNNNNNNNNNNNNNNNNNNNNNNNNNNNNNNNNNNUUAUCUUCCUCUCUUGUGUUAAGAAUUCCUUUAAAGUUUGUCAUCAAUGGUAUUAGAGCCAGGUUUAGCGUGUUUUGUAUUAUGUUCCAAAUACGAUGUCACAACAUCCGAGUGAUUACGAUAAAUUUGUUCAACCUGCUCUUCCUUGCUUUGAUGGUCAUUAUAAUCAUUAAUGGGGCAUGUUAAUAGAAAAUUUCUUAAGGUCAAAAGAAUAUUGGUCUGUUGUUGAGGAUGGAAUCCAAGAGCUAGAAGUUGGAACCAGUUUGACAGAUGCACGGAAGAUGGAGACUAAAUUCUUAGAAAUAACAAUAUAUGGACUAAUAUUUAAAUUUGUAAAAAGUACAAGGACUUAUGAUAUAUUUUAACAUUUUAUUAUGUUUAUACUAUAAUUUAAUUUGAAUAUUUGUUAAUGCCAAAAUGAUAAUAAUAACAUGACAUAAUAAUGAUAAUGAUGAUGAUGUGUGAAAAUAAAAAUACUUCACAUUUAAAUUGAUUAUAAUUUAAAUUUAUAUAUUUCGUAUAUCAUAAUAUUAAUGAAUUUGAGUUUAUAUAUUCUAUAUAUUAUAAUAUUAACAAAUUUGAGUUUUUUAGUAUUUCUUAUUCAUUUAGUUUUAAUUUUGGAAGUGAUAAUUUUGGAAGUGAUUUCAGUGAUGGUUUUGACCUCGUCCUCUCCAGUUUAGUGGAUAUUCGAUUCUUUUGCCGAUUUUAUCUACUACUUUAGAUCAUCCGAGAUUAAUUUUCUCAUAGUGUUAAAUGUUUGCAAUCACUCCAAAUAACCAUACUUGAGUUGUGAUGGAGACGAUUGCUAACUUGCUAUAUAUUAUCGAUUUUAUAGCAUAAUAUUUAAAAGUAAUUUUUUUCCGCCAUACUAAAAAUUUUAAAUAUUUUAAGAGUACAAUUUUUAAAAGCGAAGCUGGUCAACUUGCCCUAAAGCAAAUGGCGAAAAUGCGUCGAAAUUAUAUUGAAGUGAGAAAUGGGGAGUGGGAGUCAAGAUAUUGAUGUCUGUAAUAGGCGGCCAUCGAUUCAUAUCCGUCGUUAGAUAUAAAUAUAUUAAUCAUUUUUUAAAAUAUUCGAUAUUUUUAUGCAAUAUAAAUAUACCCUUGAGGGAUUAGUUUAGUGUCAGAUUGAGCUAAAUCAGUAAGGAUAGUCAUUUUGCAACUCUCCUAAUUUCUUCAUCAUUUAAAGAAGGAAACAAAAGCAUGGAUCCAAGCUUGAGAGAAGCAUAGCUGGAACAGGAGAUACUGAUGCCUUGUACGCUCUAAUUCGAAAGGAUCCGAACAUGUUGGAGCAUAUUGAUCAGAUUCCUUUCAUCGAUACUCCACUUCACAUAGCAGCAAAUGAAGGCCAAAUUAAGUUUGCAAUGGAGAUGAUCAACUUGAAGCCUUCGUUUGGUCGGAAGCUAAACCAAGACGGGUUUAGCCCCAUGCACUUGGCCUUCAAAAUGGGGCAUACCAAGCUAGUGCUUCGACUGNNNNNNNNNNNNNNNNNNNNNNNNNNNNNNNNNNNNNNNNNNNNNNNNNNNNNNNNNNNNNNNNNNNNNNNNNNNNNNNNNNNNNNNNNNNNNNNNNNNNNNNNNNNNNNNNNNNNNNNNNNNNNNNNNNNNNNNNNNNNNNNNNNNNNNNNNNNNNNNNNNNNNNNNNNNNNNNNNNNNNNNNNNNNNNNNNNNNNNNNNNNNNNNNNNNNNNNNNNNNNNNNNNNNNNNNNNNNNNNNNNNNNNNNNNNNNNNNNNNNNNNNNNNNNNNNNNNNNNNNNNNNNNNNNNNNNNNNNNNNNNNNNNNNNNNNNNNNNNNNNNNNNNNNNNNNNNNNNNNNNNNNNNNNNNNNNNNNNNNNNNNNNNNNNNNNNNNNNNNNNNNNNNNNNNNNNNNNNNNNNNNNNNNNNNNNNNNNNNNNNNNNNNNNNNNNNNNNNNNNNNNNNNNNNNNNNNNNNNNNNNNNNNNNNNNNNNNNNNNNNNNNNNNNNNNNNNNNNNNNNNNNNNNNNNNNNNNNNNNNNNAGCGCCGAAGACGAUGAUAAGACCACCGCCAAGAUUAAGCGCAUUAAGAAAAGAACUAGUCGGUCUGAAAGAGCAUUAGUAAGGUUGAUUCGUACAAAGAAUGGGUUGUCGGAGAACAUGAUCAACGCAACACUGGUGGUAGCGGCGCUGGUCAUAACAGCGAUCUACCAAUCAUCUUUAAGCCCACCGAGAGGUCUUUGGCAAGGUGAUAACACGAGUAACCCCACCACCACCUCAAACCUUACUACUACCACUAAAUUUAAACUCUUUAACGACAAAUACGCUGAAAAACAUUCUAAACGUGUGUUGGGUAAUGAAACAAUGAAAACUGGUACGGCAAUCAUGAAUCCCAACUUGUUUUUAGGGUUUUGGUUAUUCAAUUUUAUAGCAUUUGGGCUUCCGGUUCUUCUAACCGUUUUCCUUUUAUACGAUGUAGCUCGUAUUCUUCUUCUCCCGCUUUAUUUUCUAUCCGUCUCCUACUUUAACUGCAUGACAAUAAUAUCUCCGUCCAUGUUUUGGGCAAACCUCAACUCUGUUGUCAUGUGGACAGCCAUUAUUCUCCCGUCUGUCUUAGUUUUUGGAGGCGUAUGGUUAUGUAUGCUGCCAAAGCACCGGGAAAUCAGACAAAUACGCAGACGUGUCCGCAAUGACAAUAAUAUCGGAAUAAUUCAGUACUUGCGAAUGUCAGUCUAACUUAUAUAUUAUAUUUAUGUACCCUUUUCCAUUUUCUCUGUAUUAAUAUCUUUUCUUUUUGAAAAAAGAAAAAACACUAUGUAAUUGCUUUGGAUAAAUUUAAUAAAAACAGAUAUAUUUGAAGUAUUGUUUGUUUAAAAUCCACUGAUUUCUAAAUGUGUUAAUAUCAUUUUCGAGUUAUUAAUUAAAAAUAUCUUUAACAUAAAGAUAUAUGUAAUAAUUACAUACUUAUUAUUUUAUCUAUAUAAUAAAAAGUUAUUGAUUAAAAAGAUGAAUUAAAAAAUUAGAAAAUAAUAUAUUUGUUAAUUAAAAGUACUAUUUUUUUAAAAAAAUAACAUGAGAUAAAAAUAUAAAUAUGCGUAGGAGAUGUCUCAAAAAUAAAAUGACUAACAUUUAACUAUUUGAUCAAAUGAAUUAAUGCGUCAAGUUAUUAAAAAAUAUAUAUUUUAUCCUACAAGAUGCAUUUUACAAAAUCAACUUAUUUCUAUAAAUAUUAAAAAAAUCUACCUAAUACUCUAAUUAUUUUCUAAAAAGGACAUAUAUUGCUAGUGUACCCUAAAACUAGGAUGCGCCACGCUUUCUAAAGCAAAUAAUAAUAAUACAUUAAUCUAAAUUUCAUGAGCCCUUUUCUUAAUUCUAAGAAAUAAAAUCUCUCAAAUAAAAAUAAUAAAUAAAAUAAUCUUAAGUCUCGUAUGCGAAAUUGAGUUUUUGUGUCAAAUUUGUAUAUUCGUUAUAGAAAUGAUAAAUUAAGUAAAAUUCAUGUCCAAAAUUAAUUAAAAUAAAUAAUAAAAAUAUAUUAUCAUCUAUAUUUUAUAAUAUUAACUAUCAUUUAAAUAUAUAUUGUCUACUUUAUAACAUAAAUAUUUUAUCUUUUAAAAAAUACUCUUCUUCUUCUUUUUUACAAACAAAGACUGGACAUAUUUAUUGAAGUAAUACAACAAUGAGAAUAAAAAACAAAAACCAGCCAAAUAAAUAUAAACCCUAGGACUUAAAACAUUUUUCAUCUAAAAAUAAGAAUAUUAAAAUACUGAAAAACCUCCAAAUUUACCGUUAUCUACAUCCAUUACUAAUCGUAGACAGUGACAAAGACACUCGACAGAUGAUAAGCAAAAAAAAAGUACUCUUUUAACUACAAUACUAAAAGCGUCCGCUAACCAUUUUUCUAUUAAGAUAUUAAUCAAGACGGAUUAACUUAGUGUUAAAUCGAGUAAGUCUAGGGGUGGGCGGUGCAUUUAGUUUACUUUUUGUCUCACGCUACAGUAUCGUUACAGUAUCUAAUCUCACCGCCACCGCUGUUUUUAUACUAACCGCAGGUAAACCCACCACCCAUCCAAACUCACCCUAGAUUAAGUCCGUGGAUGAAUUUCCACAUCUUUUUUUAGGCAUUAAAUUGAGAGCCAAUCAGGACCUUCCCCUAAUUCCCCUUACCAAUCUAUAAAAAAUUGGAUCUUUGGUUUGAUUUUAUCAAUAAAAGAAAUUCCUUCCUCGGUUUCUUAAAUUUGAUAACUUUUAUUAUAUAAUAUAAUUUUGUUCACUUUUCAUCAAUAAUAGAAUAGAAAAUAGAUAGUUGCUUCCUAUUUCAGCAAUAUAAAUAGUUACCAUGUGUUUUUAUGUUUUUAAUUUUUAAUAUAAUUAAUGUUAUAACCCUCCUUAUGAAGCUAGUUAAUGUAAAGAAUAAUAAUUCUAAUUAUCUAUGCUUAAAAUUAAUUCAGUUGUGCUUUCAAUCAAUGUAUGAUUUUGAUAUUGCAAGAGGUGUCCAGCUAUGUGGUGAGAUCUUGAAGGUGUGUCUUUGUAACAACUUGAGAAGCUUUUUGGACUUUUUUCUUCUUCUUUUAGGUUUAUUAUUAGUAAAUGAAUUUUUGCUGCGAAAAAUUAGCCUAAAAACAAAAUAUAAAAAUGAUAGGAAAUAUGUUAAUUUUAGACGACAAUUAAUGACAUUGCAAUAUUACUUAACAACAUGAACAAUCCCCACCAUCGUAUUGUCAUUCCCAAGUAAUGGCGUAUUCUCUUUACUCGGAAAAUAUCCCUCCUAACGCUGGCCGAAAUUGGUUGAAACAUUAUGCAGCUAAUUUGGUAAGAUAAUGGACGUGUUUAUUGCAUCAAAAAGAUUUCGUUAGGUAUGGUAGGUUGGAAGAAGCAAAGAGAGCAUUGUGGAGUCUAGAUGGAAGGUGGUUCUCUAAUCAUAGAUUGACAGUCAGUAUGGCGAAGUUUAAACCUAGAGAUGAUUUGUGGAGGAAGGCAAAUGGGAGAGAGGUCAGACAACAUACAUAGAAUAUGGAAAGAAGAUGUGUUGAAGGAAAUACGGGGCCGCAUGCAAGUGAGAUUAUGGCAAAUAAUAAACAACAUGAAGAAAAUGACCCAAUCAAGUUGGACGAGAUGGUGGAAGAUUUAUGAAUUUCCAGAACAAAGUAGUAGAGGGAGCCAUUGAUGGAGAGAACUUGAAGUGGCUUGAAAAAUGUAUUGUGGGUAGAAUGAGAAACAAUGCUACUGUGGGGUUAUGGGGUGAUACUGGAAUUUAUAAAAUUGGAGUCCAAAGAUUAUCGGGUAAUGAUUUGUAUGAAUUGGAAGCCAAUGAAUGGGGAGAUGUUUUGCAAGUGUUUCAGAAAGUUGAACGGUGGACAACAAAGAUGAAAGAGUAAGGUGGUUAUCCUGUUACGAGAUUCCAAUACAUGGUCUUCGAGGAGGAAGUAGUUAAACAACUUGCUGCUAUUGAAUAGUAAAAUUGGUUUGAUUUAUUAUUUUUGGUGCAAACAAUCAACACUCAAACGGUCAAUCGGCUGUCGGGUAGAGCACGUGCAAAACCAACCUAGCAUAUGAGAAUAUAUCCAAAAGAAGAAACUUAUCCAAGUCCAACCCCCCACAAGUUCCCAGUCGGCUCAUCCCAUUGACCUUUCCACAACUUCGAAUUGAUUGGUGCAAUGCGAGGUCCAAUAUUGGAAGGAGAAUGGAAUCUUAACCGUGGGACCACACUUAAGCCGGCGUCCUAAAUGAUUAGAUGCGUGGAAGACGGUGGGUAUUCUUUCACCCAAUAACAUCACUACAUAUACACAAACCAUGUCUGCCCAUCUAGUGGGCUACUUGUGAUAAAACAGGAAAGCAAUGAAAAAUAAUAAUAUAAAGAAGAGAAAAACAAAAUCCUACACCUAAUAUAAUUUUUCCUAAAUACAAGAAAACAAGUUUUGGGAUAGAAAAUCAUAUCGAAGAUUAAACGAUUCAAUUCAUUUAGAUUUGAACGUUAAUUAAAUGAUUAAACAUUCAAAUCUCGUUAAAUUCAUGAACACAAUUUACAAGCUUUUUAUUAGUUAGAAUAUUCUCUAAUGCUUAAACGGUAUCAAUUCAAUCGAUUUAGUUCUUUUAUUAAGAACUAAGAACUGUCAGAGACAUUUUAAAAGGGUUACGUAUAGCAUGGGAGAAAAAGUUUUGUCAAUUAGAGAUUAAGAGUGAUAACACUCUUCUGAUGGAGAUGAUUGCAGAGAGAGGAGCAGUUGAUAGUUAGUUGAUGGAAUUACAUUCUAUUCAUGGAAUGAUGCAUUGAGAUUGAAAGAUUUGUUUUCGACAUAUCCCAAGAACUCACAAGAUUAUAGCGACAAGAUUCACUGAGGUCCAAGUAUUUAAAAAUCCACUUUAUUUUGUACAAGAUUUAGAACAAGCAGAUUACAUUAGCGUUACACAGACUAAUACGUUAUCUUAAUAGUAUUAUUUUAAUUUACGAAAAUAAUAAUAAUGGAGCCCAUGCAUGGUUUUGGAAUCUUUUCUAUGUCACAGCUCUGGGGAUGGGGUCAAGACACAACUAUCCUUUUUUGAGGUCAAAUAAAUCUCAAUUAGUUUUUUUAACCCUCUGUAUAUUUAUCUAAUAAAAUUUUGAUAUAAAAUUUUCCACAUUUCAUAAUGAUCGAAGAAGUGUAAAAAAAAAAGUUGAUAAAAAGUUUAUAAUUCAAAAUUGUUCCAUAUCUUGGAUUAUUUACCUGAAAAUUUGAUAUGUUAUAUAAAAAUUUAUUUUAUGAUCAAUAUAUAUCAAGAAAAAAAAUUGAUUAAAAAUAUCCACCAAAAUGAUAAGAAUGUACAUAAUUCAAAAUUUUAAACAUCUUAUUUUUAAACUGAUAUUCCUAUGUAAAUUAUAUAUUUUAAAAUAUGUUUUUAAUACUGAUAUUUCUUAAGAAAUUUGUUUCUAAAUUAAAUAUUUUUUUUUCAGAAUUAUCUUAAAAUUUUUGAAAUUUAUGUUUGUUUAAAUAUUGAAAUAAUUUUUGAUACGCUGCUUGUGGAAAAAGAUUGACAAAAAAUAGUAAAAUAUUAAAAAAAGGACACAUACUACCAAUACACAAAAUAUAUUAUCUAUUUUAUAACAUAUUACUUAAAAUAAAUAUUUUAUUUUCACAACAAUACUAAAAAUAUAAAUUUUAGAGUAAAAAUUUUUGAAAGCGAAGCUGGUCAACUUGCCUUUAAACAAGUGGCGAAAAUGCGUCCAAAUUAUAUCAAAGUGAGAAACAGGGAGUGGGAUUCAAGAUUUUGUCGUCUGUGAUAGGCGGCCACCGAUUUAUAUCCCUCAUCAAAUAUAGAUAUAUUAAUCAUUUUUUAAAAUAUUCGAUAUUUAUAUUCAAUAUAAAUCUACCCUUGACGGAAUAGUUUAGUGUAAGCUUGGUUUAAAUCAGUUGAGGUUUCAAAUAAGGAUAGUUUGCAACUCUCCUAAUUUCUUCAUCAUUUAAAGAAAGAAACAAAAGCAUGGAUCCAAGCUUGAGAGAAGUAGCUGGAACAGGAGAUACUGAUGCCUUGUACGCUCUAAUUCGAAAGGAUCCGUACAUGUUGGAGCAUAUUGAUCAGAUUCCUUUCACCGAUACUCCACUUCACAUAGCAGCAAAUGAAGGCCAAAUUAAGUUUGCAAUGGAGAUGAUCAACUUGAAGCCUUCGUUUGGUCGGAAGCUAAACCCAGACGGGUUUAGCCCCAUGCACUUGGCCCUCAAAAUGGGGCAUACCAAGCUAGUGCUUCGACUGUUGAAGACCGAUAAAGACCUGGUUCGCGUCAAAGGAAGGGAAGGGAUGACUCCUUUCCAUUGGGCAGCUGCAGUGGGGAACUCUAAUCUUUUAUUCCACUUCCUUGAAACUUGCCCUGAAUGCGUUGAGGAUGUCACGGUUCGUAACGAGACUGCAUUACAUCUUGCUCUGAAAAACGACCACACCGACGCUUUUAAUCUCUUACAUGGAUGGCUUCGAAAGAACCGUUGUGGAGGAGGCAAGGAUUUGGAAAGAAAGGUUGUGAAUUGGAGAGAUGAUGAUGACAACACUGCGUUGCACAUUGCAGCUACAAAGCAACAACAUCAGGUAUAUAUGCAAUAUAAUGAUAAGUUGCGUUCCUUUGAUCAUUUUAUUAAUUAUGACUAUUUAUAAUAUACUAUGCAGGCAGUACAACUGUUGUUGGAGUCCUUUUAUGGGUUAGAUGCAAACGCUAAGAACUCGGAAGGUUUGACAGCUCGAGAAAUCAUAGAAAGGGUUGAAAGACAAGGGCUGAACAUGAGUGGCGCCGAAGACGAUGAUACCACCACCGCCAAGAUUGAGCGCAUUAAGAACAGAACUAGUAGGUCUGAAAGAGCAUUAGUAAAGUUGAUUCGUGCAAGGAAUGGGUUGUCAGAGAACAUGCUCAACGCAACACUGGUGGUAGCGGCGCUGGUCAUAACAGCAAUCUACCAGUCAUCUUUAAGCCCACCAAGAGGUCUUUGGCAAGGUGAUAACACUAUCCGCACCACCACCUCAAACCUUACUUCUACUACUAAAUUUACACUCUUUAACGACAAUUACGAUAUAGCAAGUUCUAGACAUGUGUUGGGUGAAGAAACAAGGAAAACUGGUACAACAAUCAUGAACCCCAACUUGUUUUUAGGGUUUUGGUUAUUCAAUUUAAUAGCAUUUGGGCUUCCAGUUCUUCUAACCGUUUUGCUUUUAUCCAAUGUACCUAGUAUUCUUCUCAUCCCGCUUUAUUAUCUAUCCGUCUCCUACUUCAACUGCAUGACAAUAAUAUCUCCUUCCUCGUUUUGGGCAAGCAUCAACUAUGUUAUCAUGUGGGCAGCAAUUGGUCUCCCGUUGCUCUUAGUUGUUAGAAGCGUAUGGUUAUGGAAGCAGCCAAAGUACAGGGAAAUCAGACAAUUACGCAGACUUUUCCGCAAGUAAAAUAAUGUUGGAACCAUUCAACGGUUGCGAAUGUCAAUGUUGUUUAUAUGUUCUCUUACGUUAUGUACUUUUUUCCAUUUUCGGUAAAAAAUUUAUGUAAUUGUUUUGGAUAAAUUUAAUAAAUAAGAUUACUUUUUCCAACAAUAUCUUUGUCCUUUGCAACAGAAAAAAAAAACAUAGAAAAACCAACCAUCCUAUUUUAUAAUUUAAAAGAAUAUUUUCCUUUUUGUAAAAAGAGAUAUUUUCGAAGUAUUGUUAAUUCAAAAUUAACAAAUUUUUUAAUAAAUCGAUAUUAUUCUCUAAAUAUUUUCUAAAAAAAAUACAAAUUCAUAAACAACAGCUAUAUUCUUUUUCGUUGUGAUUUCGGCAAUAUAAGGCCGAAUUAAAUUUGUAAAAAGGGGUUACGAAGAUUGUAUCAAGAAACGAUUAGAAGAAUAUAAAAAAAAAAACAACACAGAGAAAAAUAGCAAUUUGGAGAGGUGAUUUUCUCUUUGGGAUUUUCUUUUCAUUUUUUCCUUUUGAUUUACUGUUUUUUGCAUAAAACAAAUAGAAAAGAAAAGGAGGAACCAUACCUGGGAGGCGUGCUUCCGAAGCCCUUCCUUGUUCUGUGCAGGGUGCAGAAUGAAGGAGUAGAGGGCUUUUGGGAAGAAGCGGCGCACGCAGGAGAGGAAUAACCUAGGGGUUUUUUUUUUUUUUUUUAAACCUUUAAAUGGCUUUUAUGCAGCAUACAACACGGCACCGUUUGGAGCCUGAUCAGUGGUUUCAAAACGGUGCCGUAUAGGCCUGUACCCAUGCGCGACCCGAUCCGACCCUGAGAGGAUCCGCGCGUUUUGUAAAUGGUUUAUUUUCUCGUUUGAUCCUUCUUGUUUUUCAAAAUGUGUUUAAUUAUUUUUUUCUUUUUAAAUUCAAUCACAAGUUUUAUUUCUGUUCUAAUUUAAUCCCCUAUCUGUUAUUAGUUAUUUAUUAUUAAUUAUUUUUACUAUUAUUUUUAUUAUUGUAUAAUAUCAUUUUUAUGGUGUUAUUAUUACCAUUACAACCAUAUUUAUGCAUACAUUUUUUUUGAAAUAUACGUACAUUUUUUUAUAAUUUAUAUAUGUACAUACGUUUUUAUAUUACACAAUUUAUAUACGUAUCUUUAUAUAUAUUUAAAUACAUAUUACUUUAAUUUUCAUAAAUAUAUAUAUACAUUUACAUUUUAUAAUACAUAUACAUUUUCCAAACUUUAUAGUCCAUACGUAUAUACAUUCAUUUUCUAUAAUAUACAUAUACGUACAUUUUUUGAAAUUAUUAUAAAUAUUUUUUUUGCAUAUUUCAUUUUUUAUAUACAUAUACUUAUAUAUACAUAUUUUAAUACAUGCAUAUACAUAUUUUCAUAGUUUACUUAUAUAUUAUACUUAUACAUUUUUUAUAUUUUGUAAAUAUAAGCCGACCGAGAGGUCUUUGGCAAGGUGAUAACACGAGUAACCCCACCACCACCUCAAACCUUACUACUACCACUAAAUUUAAACUCUUUAACGACAAUUACGCUGAAAAACUUUCUAAACAUGUGUUGGGUGAAGAAACAAUGAAAACUGGUACAGCAAUCAUGAAUCCCAACUUGUUUUUAGGGUUUUGGUUAUUCAAUUUUAUAGCAUUUGGGCUUCCGGUUCUUCUAACCGUUUUCCUUUUAUAUUCUUCUUCUCCCGCUUUAUUUUCUAUCCGUCUCCUACUUUAACUGCAUGACAUUAAUAUCUCCGUCCAUGUUUUGGGCAAACCUCAACUCUGUUGUCAUGUGGGCAGCCAUUAUUCUCCCGUCUCUCUUAGUUUUUGGAGGCGUAUGGUUAUGGAUGCUGCCAAAGUACCGGGAAAUCAGACAAAUACGCAGACGUGUCCGCAAUGACAAUAAUGUCGGAAUAAUUCAAUUCAUGCGAAUGUCAGUCUAAUUUAUAUAUUAUAUUAUGUACUCUUUUCCAUUUUCUCUGUAUUAAUAUCUUUUCUUUUUGAAAAAAAAACACUAUGUAAUUGCUUUGGAUAAAUUUAAUAAAAACAGAUAUAUUUGAAGUAUUGUUUGUUUAAAAUCGACUGAUUUCUAAAUGUGUUAUAUUACUUUCGAGUUAUUAAUUAAAAAUAUCUUUAACAUAAAGAUAUAUGUAAUAGUUACAUAUUUAUUAUUUUAUUUAUAUAAUAAAAAAGUUAUUGAUUAAAAAGAUGAAUUAAAAAAUUAAAAAAUAAUAUAUUUAUUAAUUAAAAAGCACUAUUUUUUAAAAUAACAUGAGAUAAAAAUAUAAAUAUGCGUAGGAGAUGAAUUAAAACCGAGUCUCAAAAAUAAAAUUACUAACAUUUAACUUUUUGAUCAAAUGAAUUAAUGCGUCAAGUUAUUAAAAAUAUAUAUAUUUUAUCCUACAAGACGCAUUUUAUAUUUCUUUCUCUAAAAUCAACUUAUUUCUAUAAAUAUUAAAAAAAUCUACCUAAUACUCUAAUUAUUUUCUAAAAAGGACAUAUAUUGCUAGUAUACCCUAAAACUAGGAAGGGUGCCUGUGGUGCGCCACGCUUUCUAAAGCAAAUAAUAAUAAUAAUAAUAAUAAUAAUAAUAAUAAUAAUAAUACAUUAACCUAAAUUUCAUGAGAGUUUGGUGUCCCUUUUCUUAAUUCUAAAAAAAUAAAAUCUCUCAAAUAAAAAUAAUAAAUAAAAUAAUCUUAAGUCUCGUAUGCGAAAUUGAGUUUUUGUGUCAAAUUUUUUGUGUAAUUUGUAUAUUCGUUAGUUUCCGACUUAUUGAACAAUAAUUGUAUUUAUAUAGAAAUGAUAAAUUAAGUAAAAUUCAUGUCCAAAAUUAAUUAAAAUAAAUAAUAAAAAUAUAUCAAUUAAGCACAUUAUCAUCUAUAUUUUAUAAUAUUAACUAAUUUAACUAUCAUUUAAAUAUAUAUUAUCUACUUUAACAUAAAUAUUUUAUCUUUUAAAAAAUACUCUUCUUUUUUUUAAAAAAAAAAAAAACAAAGACCGGACAUAUUUAUUGAAGUAAUACAACAACAUUGUAGAAAUGAGAAUAAAAAACAAAAAACAGCCAAAUAAAUAUAAACCCUAGGACUUAAAACAUUUUUCAUCUAAAAACAAGAAUAUUAAAAUAGUGAAAAACCUCCAAAUUUACCGUUAUCUACAUCCAUUACUAAUCGUAGACGGUGACAAAGACAUUCGACAGAUGAUAAGCAUUAAAAAUUACUCUUUUAACUACAAUACUAAAAGCGUCCGCAAACCAUUUUUCAAUAAAGAUAUUAAUCAAGCCGGAUUAAUUUAGAGUUAAAUCGAGUAAGUCUAAGGGUGGAUUUGGAUGGGUGAUUGGGUGCUGUGCGGUACGUUUAGUUUACUUUUUGUCUCACGCUAUAGUAUCGCUACAGUAUCUAAUCUUACCGCCAUCGCUAUUUUUACACUAACCGCAGGUAAACCCACCGCCUAUCCAAACUCACUCUAGAUUAAGUCCGUAGAUGAAUUUCCACAUCUUUUUUUAGGCAUUAAAUUGAGAGCCAAUCAAACCUUCCCCUAAUUCCCCUUACCAAUCUAUAAAAAAUUGGAUCUUUGGUUUGAUUUUAUCAAUAAUAAAUUUGAUAACUUUUAUCAUUAUCAUUAUUUUGUUCACUUUUCAUCAAUAAUGAGAUCAAUUGUUUCGCUAAUAGAAUAGAAAAUAGAUAGUUGCUUCCUAUUUCAGCAAUAUUAUAAUGGUACCAUGUGUUUUUAUGUUUUUAAUUUUUAAUAUAAUUAAAGGAUGCAUUGUAAUGUAAAGAAUAAUAAUUCUAAUUAUCUAUGCUUAAAAUUAAUUCAGUUGUGCUUUCAAUCAAUGUAUGAUUUUGAUAUUGCAAGAGGUGUCCAGCUAUGUGGUGAGAUCUUGAAGGUGUGUCUUUGUAACAACUUGAGAAGCUUUUUGGAUUUUUUUUCUUCUUCUUUUAGGUUUAUUAUUAGUAAAUGAAUUUUUGCUGCAAAAAAUUAGCUUAAAAACAAAAUAUAAAAAUGAUAGGAAAUAUGUUAAUUUUAUACAACGACAAUUAAUGACAUUGCAAUAUAUUACUUAACAACAUGAACAAUCCCCACCAUCGUAUUGUCAUUCCCAAGUAAUGGCGUAUUCUCUUUACUUGGAAAAUAUCCCUCCUAACGCUGGCCGAAAUUGGUUGAAACAUUAUGCAGCUCAUUUGGUAAGAUAAUGGACGUGUUUAUUGCAUCAAAAAGAAAUAGAAGAGGUCGUCGGUUUUGUUUCGUUAGGUAUGGUAGGUUGGAAGAAGCAAAGAGAGCAUUGUGGAGUCUAGAUGGAAGGUGGUUCUCUAAUCAUAGAUUGACAGUCAGUAUGGCGAAGUUUAUACCUAGAGAUGAUUUGUGGAGGAAGGCAAAUGGGAGAGAGAUCAGACAACAUACAUAGAAUAUGGAAAGAAGAUGUGUUGAAGGAAAUACGGGACCGCAUGUAGGGAAGAAUGCAAGUGAGAUUAUGGCAAAUAAUAAACAACAUGAAGAAAAUGACCCAAUCAAGUUGGACGAGAUGGUGGAAGAUUUAUGAAUUUCCAGAACAAAGUAGUAGAGGGAGCCAUUGAUGGAGAGAACUUGAAGUGGCUUGAAAAAUGUAUUGUGGGUAGAAUGAGAAACAAUGCUACUGUGGGGUUAUGGGGUGAUACUGGAAUUUAUAAAAUUGGAGUCAAAAGAUUAUCGGAUAAUGAUUUGUAUGAAUUGGAAGCCAAUGAAUGGGGAGAUGUUUUGUAAGUGUUCAGAAAGUUGAACGGUGGACCACAAAGAUGAAAGAUUAAGGUGGUUAUCCUGUUACGAGAUUCCAAUACAUGCUUGGUCUUCGAGGAGGAAGUAGUUAAACAACUUGCUGGCUUGCUGCUAUUGAAUAUUAUAAUUGGUUUGAUUUAUUAUUUUUGGUACAAACAAUCAAGACUCAAACAGUCAAUCGACUGUCGGAUAGAGCACGUGCAAAACCAACCUAACAUAUGAGAAUAUAUCCAGAAGAAGAAACUUAUCCAAGUCCAACCCCCCACAAGUUGCCAAUCGGCUCAUCCCAUUGACCUUUCCACACCUUCGAAUUGAUUGGUGCAAUGCGAGGUCCAAUAUUGGAAGGAGAAUGGAAUCUAAACCGUGGGACCACACUUAAGCCGGCGUCCUAAAUGACUAGAUGCGUGGAAGACGGUGGGUAUUCUUUCACCCAAUAACAUCACUACAUAUACACAAACCAUGUCUGCCCAUCUUGUGGGCUACUUGUGAUAAAACAGGAAAACAAUGAAAAAUAAUAAUAUAAAGAAGAGAAACAAAAUCCACACCUAAUAUAAUUUUUCCUAAAUACAAGAAAACAAGUUUUGGGAUAAAAAAUCAUAUCGAAGAUUAAAGGAUUCAAUUCAUUUAGACUUGAAUGUUAAUUGAAUGAUUAAACAUUCAAAUCUCGUUAAAUUCAUGAACAGCUUUUCAUUAGAUAGAAUAUUCUCUAUUUCUUAAAUUUAAUUCUUUUAUAUUAAGAUCUGUUUGAGACAUUAAAAAUUGGUUUAAUUUACCAAAAUAAUAAUAAUGAGGCCCAUGGUUUUGGAAUCUUUUCUAUGUCACAGCUAUGGGGAUGGGGUCAAGACACAGCUGUCCUUUUUUGAGGUCAAAUAAAUUGAUUAAAAAUAUCCACCAAAAUGAUAAGAAUGUACAUAAUUCAUCUUAUUUUUAAACUGAUAUUCCUAAGUAUAUUAUAUAUUUUUAAUACUGAUAUUUCUUAAUAAAUUUGUUUCUAAAUUAAAUAUUUUUUUUCAAAAUCAUCUUAAAGUUUUUGAAACUUAUGUUUGUUUAAAUAUUAAAAUAAUUUUUAAUACACUGCUUGUGGAAAAAGUUUGACAAAAUAUAAUAAAAUAUCAAAAAAAAGACGCAUACCAAUACACAAAAUAUAUUAUCUAUUUUAUAACAUAUUAUUUAAAAUAAAUAUUUUAUUUUCUAAAAGUAAUUUUUUACCGCAAUACCAAAAAUAUAAAUUUUAGAGUAAAAUUUCUGAAAGCGAAGCUGGUCAACUUGCCUUGAAACAGAUGGCGAAAAUGAGUCCAAAUUAUAUCGGAGCGAGAAACAGGGAGUGGGAUUCAAGAUUUUGACGUACUGUAUAGGCGGCCACCGAUUUAUAUCCCUCGUCAUAUAUAGAUAUAUUAAUCAUUUUUUAAAAUAUUCGAUAUUUAUAUUCAAUAUAAAUCUACCCUUGACGGAUUAAUUAGUUUAGUGCAAGCUUGGUUUAAAUCAGUUGAGGUUGCAAAUAAGGAUAGUCAGUUUGCAACUCUCCUAAUUUUUUCAUCAUUUAAAGAAAGAAACAAAAGCAUGGAUCCAAGCUUGAGAGAAGUAGCUGGAACAGGAGAUACUGAUGCCUUGUACGCUCUAAUUCGAAAGGAUCCGUACAUGUUGGAGCAUAUUGAUCAGAUUCCUUUCAUCGAUACUCCACUUCACAUAGCAGCAAAUGAAGGUCAAAUUAAGUUUGCAAUGGAGAUGAUCAACUUGAAGCCUUCGUUUGGUCGGAAGCUAAACCAAGACGGGUUUAGCCCCAUGCACUUGGCCCUCCAAAUGGGGCAUACCAAGCUAGUGCUUCGACUGUUGAAGACCGAUAAAGACCUGGUUCGCGUCAAAGGAAGGGAAGGGAUGACCCCUUUCCAUUGUGCAGCUGCAGUGGGGAACUCUAAUCUUUUAUUCCACUUCCUUGAAACUUGCCCUGAAUGCGUUGAGGAUGUCACGGUUCGUAACGAGACUGCAUUACAUCUUGCUCUGAAAAACGACCACACCGA
rnacentral:lncRNA from 1 species